rnacentral:rRNA from 1 species
UACGAAGGGUGCAAACGUUGCUCGGAAUCAUUGGGCGUAAAGCGCACGUAGGCGGCUUUGCAAGUCGGACGUGAAAUCCCUCAGCUCAACUGAGGAAGUGCAUCCGAAACUGCAAGGCUUGAGUACUGAAGGAGGAUCGCGGAAUUCCCGGUGUAGAGGUGAAAUUCGUAGAUAUCGGGAGGAACACCAGUGGCGAAGGCGGCGAUCUGGGCAGAUACUGACGCUGAGGUGCGAAAGCGUGGGGAGCAAACAGGG